UGCGGAUCAUUCCGCCCCCAAAACCCAACCCGCUACUUACUCUUUCUAACAAGAAAGGAGUUUUAUUUUCUGCUGGAACUGCAGAGAGGAAGGAGACCAGCUUCUCUUCAGAGCUCACCUAGUGACGACUGUACUGAAGUUCAAAGAAGCAAACAAGAGGCAUGGAGAUGGGCCAAGGAGGCAAGGAGAGCGAGAAGUACCAACUCGGAGAUAGGGGACCUUCGGCGUAAAGCCAAGGACUCCUUUUGAACUCUGCUGACAUCUAUGAAUAAAUCAACCAAUUCAGAUCUUCUUUAAAUUGCUGAGCUGCCUCCCUACUAUGUCCUAGGUCAAGGAGAAAGGAUGCAACAACAACUUCAUUAAGAGCUUCUUUUGGACUUCUCGUCAACCAACGCUCUUCUUUCAUGGCAUUUUCUUUCAAUAAAGAAACUCGUCAUUCAAACCAAUUUGGGCUUUUGUCAAAUCCAACUACUCAUUAUCUUUGUUCUUUUCGUACUUUUUCUAUUGUUAACGAUUUUUCAAAUCGAGAUUCAUUCUUGAACACUUGGAUCAUUAAUUAUGGUGUCACAGAUCACAUUGCAUCAAA